AAACCCCCAGGCUCAACCUGGGAACUGCAUUUGAAACUGGAUAUCUGGAGUGCAGGAGAGGUAAGUGGAAUUCCUAGUGUAGCGGUGAAAUGCGUAGAGAUUAGGAAGAACACCAGUGGCGAAGGCGACUUACUGGACUGUAACUGACACUGAGGCACGAAAGCGUGGGUAGCAAACAGGAUUAGAUACCCUGGUAGUCCACGCCGUAAACGAUGAGUACUAGGUGUAGGAGGUAUCGACUCCUUCUGUGCCGCAGUUAACACAAUAAGUACUCCGCCUGGGAAGUACGAUCGCAAGAUUAAAACUCAAAGGAAUUGACGGGGGCCCGCACAAGCAGCGGAGCAUGUGGUUUAAUUCGAAGCAACGCGAAGAACCUUACCUGGACUUGACAUCUCCUGAAUUACUCUUAAUAGAGGAAGCCCUUCGGGGCAGGAAGACAGGUGGUGCAUGGUUGUCGUCAGCUCGUGUCGUGAGAUGUUAGGUUAAGUCCUGCAACGAGCGCAACCCUUAUCAUUAGUUGCUACCAUUAAGUUGAGCACUCUAGUGAGACUGCCCGGGUUAACCGGGAGGAAGGUGGGGAUGACGUCAAAUCAUCAUGCCCCUUAUGUCCAGGGCUACACACGUGCUACAAUGGUGAGUACAACAAGAUGCAAUCCCGUGAGGGGGAGCCAAACUUAUAAAACUCAUCUCAGUUCGGAUUGUAGGCUGAAACUCGCCUACAUGAAGCUGGAGUUGCUAGUAAUCGCGAAUCAGCAUGUCGCGGUGAAUACGUUCCCGGGCCUUGUACACACCGCCCGUCACACCAUGAGAGCUGGCAACACCCGAAGUCCGUAGUCUAACCGUAAGGAGGACGCGGCCGAAGGUGGGGUUAGUGAUUGGGGUGAAGUCGUAACAAGGUAGCCGUAGGAGAACCUGCGGCUGGAUCACCUCCU
rnacentral:rRNA from 1 species